UCCGGUUUGUCACCGGCAGUCCCCCAUGAGUCCCCGACUUUACUCGCUGGCAACAUGGGGCAGGGGUUGCGCUCGUUGCGGGACUUAACCCAACACCUCACGGCACGAGCUGACGACAGCCGUGCAGCACCUGCACAGGCUCCCUUGCGGGUCCCUUGGCUUUCGCCUUGGUACCACCUGCAUGUCAAGUCCGGGUAAGGUUCUUCGCGUUGCAUCGAAUUAAACCACACGCUCCGCUGCUUGUGCGGGCCCCCGUCAAUUCCUUUGAGUUUUGGCCUUGCGGCCGUAGUCCCCAGGCGGGGUGCUUGAUGCGUUAGCGACGGCACGGAGGGGGUCGACACCCCCCACACCUAGCAUCCACCGUUUAGGGCGUGGACUAC
rnacentral:misc_RNA from 1 species